AAAACCAUCUGGGAUUUAAGAGGUUAAACUCAAUUGGCUUGAGUGAAGCCACGCCCUCUCAUAAGUGAAGAACAGGAAUAUUCCGGUUUUUCCAGGUUGCCUGAAAAAAUGUAGUCACGUAGUUUUCUUAGACGGUGAACAAGCUGUAUUACAAAGAGCAAAAAGUUUUUUCUUUUGGAGAUACACCGAAAUAUUAAAGAAAUAUUCAGAGAGCGAGACAACAUUGGUUGUGAUGGCUGAACGUUUUUUCCUGCUACUAGUCACCCAUGAGGCACGGAGCAGCCGCGUGAGCACAUUUUGACCAGAGGUCAGGUCCUUUUAGCGGGAACCUAAACUUCCUGGAGCUGCAUUCGAAUAUCGUUGGAUGUCGAUGCUGGAACUGGCGUGGACAGGAAGUUGGGGGAGGUACUCAAUGCUCGCGUGACGUGGCCGAGAGACUUGAGGAGAAUUAGACACUGACAGCAGUGGAGAUGAGAGCGCACUUGAAAUUAUCAGGUAAGAGAGGGUUAAUCGAGCAAAAUGUACAAUUAUUGGUCAGAAAAUGUCGGUCAAAUUUCUAAAUAAUUAUGGCGUACGAAUAAUGAUAUAUCCGUAAAUCGUAUUUUACCGAUUUAAAGAUGUUCAUUAUUCAUUGUAUUGUCACGCCCCCCUCGGGAGAAUGCAGCGGCAGCAGCCACACCUGAGUUACGUCAACUCCCUGUUUAGUUCUGCUUGGCGCUGCAUUACAUGCAAGGUAUUGUUGAGGGUUUUCAUAAGAAGUACAGGGCGGUCUUCCUCCUGUCUACCCCGAUCCGGUCCAUCCGCCUGCUUUGCUGCCAUUCCAUCCCAUACCAUCCUGAUCCACCCGGACCUCUCUCUUGUACUUGUCCCGCGUCUCGCAUGCCACCUGUAGAACUGGCUUUUGGACUCCGAUUGUACUUGCUGAUUCCAGUUCUGUUUGCGUGUUCCCAACAAUAAACCCCGUACGGUACGUUGCCUUCUGUGUCUCUACCAUCCUCCGGGGUUGCAUGUUGUGCAGUACUGUAGUAGCUUGGAUUCAACCAUUAGAUGGCAGUAGUAGCAUAUAGUUGGAGGGAAGUAGAAGAAGGCAACAGAGGGAAGUUGAGUGUUUGUGCGUUGUUCCCGGAGCUGAUAAGUUAAUAAAUAUUGAACCUCUUGCCAUCCCCAAAUGUGUCUCGGCUGACUCUCAAUAUAUCAAAAGUACAUACCGUCUAUUUAUUUAUGUCUGCCCUUCAAACCGCUAGAUUCCUUCAAUAAGCAGGAAGUUUGUCACGACAGCUGACACCAAAUCUCCUGCUGAGCUGGUUCAGACAGAACUAUCCUCAAUUCACCACGAGGGGGCGCCAACUGAGCAGCUUAGUUCUAUUGUCUCUCUUUUUCAAAGACAGUUUUUCUCUUCACAAAAGGACAACUUAACUGAAUAAUGCACUUUCAUAGUAAUUGUUUUUAAUCUGUGUUAAUGUUCUGAACAAUGACUACUAAAGGUUCUGUAAGGUUGUCCCACAUACUGUGGAUUUUAAGUUUUUUAUCAAGGUGUUAAAACGUACCAUCUAUUUUCUGCUGAAAGUUGCCAGUCCUGUGUUUUAUGUCUAGCAAUUUGUACAGUUUCUUCAGUAUGGCACAUAAACACAUAUCAUCUACAGUAUGAGAAUCUCCUCCAGAACUCUGCAUUUCCUCAAGAUUUUUUUUGUAAUAUUACAUAGGUGCAUCUCAUGAACCUUAAUUUGCCAAGCAUGUAUUGACUGGGCACAGUACAGUGGUGCAAUUUCUGACAAUGAAAGAACAUCAUGGACCCCUACUCCCCAUUCCUUAACCCGAUCGAGGGGCUCUGCUCAGCAUGGAGUUAGAAGGCUUACGAUCGCCAGCCACAUGCUCAGAUGGCCCUGCUGGCUGACAUGGAUGCAGCAUGUGAGGACAUUACAGCAGAUGCCUGCAGAGGCAGACACUUCACUGGCUGUGGAUGUUGUUCAGCCCAGAUACCUGAUGAGGGUCCAGCAUGGAGACAGUGUGACCCUGACAUGCUUCCGUCCAGAAGAUAUUUCUUUUGCAGUUUGGUUUUAGCAAGCUGUUGGUCAGGUCAGAAGCCCCAGCUCAUGGCGAAAGCACUUCUCUAUGUACCUGGUGAAUUUUACAAGGAAUAUAAAAACAUAAAACGUUACUCCUUACUGAAUGCAGAGGGGAGUUUUAACCUCACUAUUUCUAACGUGGAGCCGUCAGAUUCUGCAGUGUAUUAUUGCGCUGCUCUGUUAUAUAAUGAAAUCGCAUUUGGAAAUGGAACCUUUGUCAUAAUCACAGAUAAAUGAGAUUCCAACUAUUUUCAUAUUUGCUUUAUUAAAGUGUCAGUAAUAUUGUCCUUUGACAAACAUUUUUGACAGUUGAGCUCUGUAUCAAUAUAAAAUUAACAAAGAUAGUUGA